rnacentral:rRNA from 1 species
AGCACUAAAUCACUUUGUCUUUAUGGCAAAUGUGAGAUGCAGUGUAUGGAAUGUCAAAUUUCUAGUAUGAGAAAUUAACGAUUUAAGUCCUUCUUAAAUGAGACCAUUUACCCAAAGAGGGUGCCAGGCCCGUAUAACGUUAAUGAUUACUAGAUGGCAUUUCCAAAGAGUCGUGUUGCUUGAUAGUGCAGCACUAAGUGGGUGGUAAACUCCAUCUAAAGCUAAAUAUAACCAUGAGACCGAUAGUAAACAAGUACCGUGAGGGAAAGUUGAAAAGAACUCUGAAUAGAGAGUUAAAUAGUACGUGAAACUGCUUAGAGGUUAAGCCCGAUGAACCUGAAUAUCCGUUAUGGAAAAUUCAUCUUUAUGAUUUUAAUAUUUAUAAUAUUAUAAUAAUGGUGUGCAUUUUUUCUAUAAAGGACAUUGUAAUCUAUUAACAUAAAUAUAUUUAUCAUAAGAUCAUUUGCGUAAGUUUAUUCAAAUUAUUUUGCUUGCAUUUUAAUAUCGAAUAAAUGCUUUUGAUUUGAUAAAGUGUUGAUAGAUUUAUUAUAUAUAGUGCUUAAAUAUUUAUAUUUUAUAAUAGCAUAUUGAUCAUUGAUCUUUAUGUUUAUUAUAUGCACUUA